CCCCCCCGUUCCUUGUCAUCGGUGGGGCUGGACUUUGGUGGACAAUAAUGCAGCAAUUGUUGAUGCUUUGUGACCCAUAAAAUUUGAGGGUGGCUAUUCUGGCUUUGGUAUGUAAUUAUGCAAAACACUUUGCAUAAAGACUUGCCAUCCGAUCUAAUGAUAGAGUCUGCAGUCUCGUUUCCAGAGAGGGAGGCACCAGCAAAGCCUGCAACACCGAGUGAUGGAGGAAAAAACUACCAUAAUAAAACCAGACAAACUGCACAUGAACACUUCCUAUUGUCCAGGUGUUUCUGAGGAUAAAAAUCGUUUUGGUUUUGACUCUGGGCAGAAAAAAACAAACAAGAAGAAGAAAUGCAAAUACGAGGAGGAAGUCAAAUCCAUUUUGCCUCAUGUGUCUGCCGUGAGGAGCAGAUAAGCCAGAGGACAGGUUAAUCGGUGGUAUGGAAGAAGCACAUUUAAUGGAGCACACUAUUGUGUCCAUGGCUCAUAAGCAUCCUGUAUCUAUGUUUACUCUUUGUCUACUUAAGCAAAAAAGUCAGAUUUCUAUGCAAUUAAUAAAAGCAGUACGUGUUGUUUGUUAAAAGUCUGCAAACUGCAUGCCUUUCAGGUGUGCACUGUGCGGCACAUUCUGUGUGUAUAUGAACAUAAUAAACACUUGUGCUGCCUGACAGAGGUGUGAAUCUGAGAGCUUUUCUACCAAAUGAAGUGCCAGCAGAGAGAGAAAUGAAGAGAUCUGCAGCUGUCAGGGGUCAGUCAGGCAGAGAUUGCUUCUAGAGAUCUUUUGAAAAAAUCACACGUUUGAAGGCUUAGUGCUUUGCUGUCUUCGCAUUUCAAGCUCAGAUCAGUGGGAUC